rnacentral:rRNA from 1 species
AGGAUGAACGCUGGCGGCGUGCCUAAUACAUGCAAGUCGAACGGUAACAGGCUUUCACUAUUUGCUUCUCUCUCAUCUGUAAAACGAUGAGGAACAGAGGAGGAAGUGGUGAAGGUGCUGACGAGUGGCGGACGGCUGAGUAACGCGUGGGAACGUGCCCCAAAGUGAGGGAUAAGCUCUGGAAACAGAGUCUAAUACCGCAUAUGGUCUUCGGAUUAAAGUAUUUAUACGCUUUGGGAGCGGCCCGUCGUUGAUUAGAUAGUUGGUGAGGUAAAGGCUCACCAAGUCUACGAUACAAUAGC